CAGCGCCGCGGUAACACGAAGGGGGCUGGCGUUGUUCGGAAUUACUGGGCGUAAAGCGCACGUAGGCGGAUUUUUAAGUCAGGGGUGAAAUCCCGAGGCUCAACCUCGGAACUGCCUUUGAUACUGGAGAUCUUGAGUUCGGAAGAGGUUGGUGGAACAGCUAGUGUAGAGGUGAAAUUCGUAGAUAUUAGCUAGAACACCAGUGGCGAAGGCGGCCAACUGGUCCGAUACUGACGCUGAGGUGCGAAAGCGUGGGGAGCAAACAGGAUUAGAGACCCCAGUAGUCCCUGUCUCUUAUACC
rnacentral:rRNA from 1 species